rnacentral:rRNA from 1 species
UAAUACAUCGGAACGUAUCCCGUAUGGGGGAUAGCCCGGCGAAAGCCGGAUUAAUACCGCAUAUGCUCUACGGAGGAAAGUGGGGGAUCGCAAGACCUCACGCUAUGGGAGCGGCCGAUGUCCGAUUAGCUUGUUGGUGGGGUAAUGGCCUACCAAGGCGACGAUCGGUAGCUGGUCUGAGAGGAUGAUCAGCCACACUGGGACUGAGACACGGCCCAG